rnacentral:ncRNA from 2 species
UAUUCUUAAGUAAGAGUUACUUGUAUAAUGUCAUAAUCUGGUUGACGAGUUUCUACCCAAGACCGUAAAUCUUGGACUAUGAGUACAAUAUGCAUGGCG